rnacentral:rRNA from 1 species
AUGAACGCUGGCGGCGUGCCUAAUACAUGCAAGUCGAACGCUUCACUUCGGUGAAGAGUGGCGAACGGGUGAGUAAUACAUAAGUAACCUGGCAUCUACAGGGGGAUAACUGAUGGAAACGUCAGCUAAGACCGCAUAGGUGUAGAGAUCGCAUGAACUCUAUAUGAAAAGUGCUACGGGACUGGUAGAUGAUGGACUUAUGGCGCAUUAGCUGGUUGGUAGGGUAACGGCCUACCAAGGCGACGAUGCGUAGCCGACCUGAGAGGGUGACCGGCCACACUGGGACUGAGACACGGCCCAGACUCCUACCGGAGGCAGCAGUAGGGAAUUUUCGGCAAUGGGGGAAACCCUGACCGAGCAACGCCGCGUGAAGGAAGAAGUAAUUCGUUAUGUAAACUUCUGUCAUAGAGGAAGAACGGUGGAUAUAGGGAAUGAUAUCCAAGUGACGGUACUCUAUAAGAAAGCCACGGCUAACUACGUGCCAGCAGCCGCGGUAAUACGUAGGUGGCGAGCGUUAUCCGGAAUUAUUGGGCGUAAAGAGGGAGCAGGCGGCACUAAGGGUCUGUGGUGAAAGAUCGAAGCUUAACUUCGGUAAGCCAUGGAAACCGUAGAGCUAGAGUGUGUGAGAGGAUCGUGGAAUUCCAUGUGUAGCGGUGAAAUGCGUAGAUAUAUGGAGGAACACCAGUGGCGAAGGCGACGAUCUGGCGCAUAACUGACGCUCAGUCCCGAAAGCGUGGGGAGCAAAUAGGAUUAGAUACCCUAGUAGUCCACGCCGUAAACGAUGAGUACUAAGUGUUGGGAGUCAAAUCUCAGUGCUGCAGUUAACGCAAUAAGUACUCCGCCUGAGUAGUACGUUCGCAAGAAUGAAACUCAAAGGAAUUGACGGGGGCCCGCACAAGCGGUGGAGCAUGUGGUUUAAUUCGAAGCAACGCGAAGAACCUUACCAGGUCUUGACAUCGAUCUAAAGGCUCCAGAGAUGGAGAGAUAGCUAUAGAGAAGACAGGUGGUGCAUGGUUGUCGUCAGCUCGUGUCGUGAGAUGUUGGGUUAAGUCCCGCAACGAGCGCAACCCCUGUUGCCAGUUGCCAGCAUUAAGUUGGGGACUCUGGCGAGACUGCCGGUGACAAGCCGGAGGAAGGCGGGGAUGACGUCAAAUCAUCAUGCCCCUUAUGACCUGGGCUACACACGUACUACAAUGGACAUUAACAGAGGGAAGCGAAGCCGCGAGGUGGAGCGAAACCCAUAAAACUGUUCUCAGUUCGGACUGCAGUCUGCAACUCGACUGCACGAAGAUGGAAUCGCUAGUAAUCGCGAAUCAGCAUGUCGCGGUGAAUACGUUCUCGGGCCUUGUACACACCGCCCGUCACACCAUGAGAGUCGGUAACACCCGAAGCCGGUGGCCUAACCGCAAGGAAGGAGCUGUCUAAGGUGGGACUGAUGAUUGGGGUG